UACGAAGGGGGCUAGCGUUGCUCGGAAUCACUGGGCGUAAAGGGUGCGUAGGCGGGUCUUUAAGUCAGGGGUGAAAUCCUGGAGCUCAACUCCAGAACUGCCUUUGAUACUGAGGAUCUUGAGUUCGGGAGAGGUGAGUGGAACUGCGAGUGUAGAGGUGAAAUUCGUAGAUAUUCGCAAGAACACCAGCGGCGAAGGCGGCUCACUGGCCCGAUACUGACGCUGAGGUGCGAAAGCGUGGGGAGCAAACAGG
rnacentral:rRNA from 1 species